UACGUAGGGUGCGAGCGUUGUCCGGAAUUAUUGGGCGUAAAGAGCUCGUAGGCGGUGUGUCACGUCGGCCGUGAAAACCUGCAGCUUAGCUGUGGGCGUGCGGUCGAUACGGGGCAUCACUGGAGUUCGGUAGGGGAGAAUGGAAUUCCCGGUGUAGCGGUGAAAUGCGCAGAGAUCGGGAGGAACACCCGUAGCGAAGGCGGUUCGUCUGGGCCGGUACUGACGCGUGAGG
rnacentral:rRNA from 1 species